GACGAACGCUGGCGGCGUGCUUAACACAUGCAAGUCGAACGGAAAGGCCCUGCUUUUGUGGGGUGCUCGAGUGGCGAACGGGUGAGUAACACGUGAGUAACCUGACCUUGACUUUGGGAUAACUUCAGGAAACUGGGGCUAAUACCGGAUAGGAGCUCCUGCUGCAUGGUGGGGGUUGGAAAGUUUCGGCGGUUGGGGAUGGACUCGCGGCUUAUCAGCUUGUUGGUGGGGUAGUGGCUUACCAAGGCUUUGACGGGUAGCCGGCCUGAGAGGGUGACCGGCCACAUUGGGACUGAGAUACGGCCCAGACUCCUACGGGAGGCAGCAGUGGGGAAUAUUGCACAAUGGGCGGAAGCCGGAUGCAGCAACGCCGCGUGCGGGAUGACGGCCUUCGGGUUGUAAACCGCUUUCGCCUGUGACGAAGCGUGAGUGGCGGUAAUGGGUAAAGAAGCACCGGCUAACUACGUG
rnacentral:rRNA from 1 species